AAUAUUGGACAAUGGGCGCAAGCCUGAUCCAGCCAUGCCGCGUGAGUGAGGAAGGCCUUAGGGUGGUAAAGCUCUUUCACCGGUGAGGAUAAUAACGGUAGCCGAAGAAGAAGCCCCGGCUAACUUCGUGCCAGCAGCCGAGGUAAUACGAAGGGGGCUCGCGUUGUUCGGAAUUACUGGGCGUAAAGCGCACGUAGGCGGAUUGGUUAGUUAGGGGUGAAAUACCCGGGCUCAACACUGGAACUGACUUUAAUACUGCCAGUCUUGAGUUCGAGAGAGGUGAGUGGAAUUCCGAGUGUAGAGGUGAAAUUCGUAGAUAUUCGGAGGAACACCAGUGGCGAAGGCGGCUCACUGGCUCGAUACUGACGCUGAGGUGCGAAAGCGUGGGGAGCAAACAGG
rnacentral:rRNA from 1 species